AGCUUCCUAGGGCUUUCAUCAAAUUCGGCAGCUCCAUAUAACAACUAAGAUUUGUCCAAUAAAUGAGAACCUUUUGAACGAAAAAUUAUAUAGUUGUCUUUCAAUAAAAUUAUGAUAGUUGCUGUACCUUUGGCUCCACAAUAACAGGCAAGACUGAGACGGCUCUUCCGUAAAACAAGGAAGUUUCGAUAUACCUGCAGCCCAAAUUGUAAAUCCUUGAGCACUGGAGUUGAAAGGGUGUAGGGACCAGACCGCUCGGGAAGGAAUGGUCUUGGUGACGAGUGAUCAUCUAUAACAGUGCAAGAUAUACAAUGUUUUUGGUUCCAAGUAAAACAAAGUUGUUCAUGCUUACACAACGAAUGCAUUGGUCUGUUACAAUUUUA